CUAGGAUAAAGGACCCUUACUAGGGCGGGCUGCAAGAAUGCGGUUCCUGCUUUGACCUUGGUCUGAAGGGAAACUGCCUGGAUUGAUUUCUGGUUUGAGCAUCUCCUUGCAGACCUUUACUCAUUGAACGUAUUCUUAUUUGCCUCAUUGUCAUGUGGAGUAGGAGGAAUUAGAAGCCCGCAGUCCAGAUGUGGAACUGAAGUUUGGAUGGUAUGACACUUUGGGGCUCACAAAGGACAGAUCUCGAAAGGACUGAUAUUAAGAAUAUUUCACAGCUGUAUGGAGCAGACACAAGCCAGUCACCACAGAAGCUUCUGUAAACAAGGAGGCCACCUGCGCUGGGGAUGGUGUGCACAUCAGGCCGGUCCCAGGAUUUGUCCUGGCUUUUCAGUCUUGCCUCCUCUGCCUCUGUGUCACACACAGAUGUGCAGGGCUGGAAUGGAUUUUCUCCUUCAGCGAGAACGAUGGGAUUGUCUGCGUUCUGUAAAGGCCACCAAGAGCACAUAUGUAAUGAUCUGAGACCGUGCAAUACAGCAGCCCCCCCCCGGAAUGCCAGAGCAAAAUUAGAUGUUGCUGGGUCUCUGCCAUGCAUGUGCAGCUGUGGUAGCAGCUCCGACCCACUUAUGUGCAGAGAACUUCAUGAAGGAAUUCUUGGGGGCUCCUGUUACAUCAGUUAAAUGUGUAGCUUAACAACUGGGUUUGGAGAUGGUUUGAUCGCCAAAGUUCAUGUAUCAGAAGUGUGGUCCUCAGUGUGGACAUAUAAAGAAGUAGUGGGACCUUUAAGAGAUGGGGCAUUGUGGAUGGAGGUUAGGUCAUUGAGGGUGCUGCUCUCAGAAGAGAUAUGUAGUUCUUGUGGGUCCCCAGUUAGUUUCUGAGAGAGGAAUUAUGAAAUAACAAGCCUAGCCCCUCUGGCUUCUGUGUCUCUAUGUUAGCUCUCCCUCCUGCACAUGUUUGUACUGUGAUGUGGUCCAUCAUGAUGGGAUGCAGCCAAGGAGCCUCUCACCAGAGGCUGAAACAAUAAACUACACUGAGAUUCCAUCUCACUCCAGUCAGAAUGGCAACUGUCAAGAAUAUAAGUAACAAUAAAUGUUGGUGAGGAUGAGGGGGAAAAGGAACACUCAGACAUUGCUGGUGGGACUGCAAAUUGGAGCAACCACUCUGGAAGGCAGUAUGGAGAUUCCUCAAAAUCUAGGCAUGGAACCACCAUUUGACCCAGUAAUCCCACUCCUUGGCAUAUAUCCAAAGGAUUUAAAAUCAUGAUACUACAGUGACACAGCAAUGUUUAUAGCAGCACAAUUCACAAUAGCUAAGCUAUGGAACCUAACUCGGUGCCCUUCAAAAGAUGAACAGAUAAUAAAUCAUAUAUAUAUAUA